rnacentral:rRNA from 1 species
UACGAAGGGGGCUAGCGUUGUUCGGAAUUACUGGGCGUAAAGCGCACGUAGGCGGAUAUUUAAGUCAGGGGUGAAAUCCCGGGGCUCAACCCCGGAACGGCCUUUGAUACUGGAUGUCUUGAGUCCGGAAGAGGUGAGUGGAAUUCCGAGUGUAGAGGUGAAAUUCGUAGAUAUUCGGAAGAACACCAGUGGCGAAGGCGACUCACUGGACAUGUAUUGACGCUGAGGUGCGAAAGCGUGGGGAGCAAACAGG